UGGGGAAUAUUGCACAAUGGGCGCAAGCCUGAUGCAGCCAUGCCGCGUGUGUGAAGAAGGCCUUCGGGUUGUAAAGCACUUUCAGCGAGGAGGAAGGUGGUGAGCUUAAUACGCUCAUCAAUUGACGUUACUCGCAGAAGAAGCACCGGCUAACUCCGUGCCAGCAGCCGCGGUAAUACGGAGGGUGCAAGCGUUAAUCGGAAUUACUGGGCGUAAAGCGCACGCAGGCGGUUUGUUAAGUCAGGUGUGAAAUCCCCGGGCUCAACCUGGGAACUGCAUUUGAAACUGGCAAGCUAGAGUCUCGCAGAGGGGGGUAGAAUUCCAGGUGUAGCGGUGAAAUGCGUAGAGAUCUGGAGGAAUACCGGUGGCGAAGGCGGCCCCCCUGGACGAAGACUGACGCUCAGGUGCGAAAGCGUGGGGCAGCAAACAGGAUUAGAUACCCUGGUAGUCCACGCUGUAAACGAUGUCGAUUUGGAGGUUGUG
rnacentral:rRNA from 1 species